UUCCAAUUACUCCAGGGUGAGUUAAACCUGGAAAUCUCACUCCUGCAUAUAUGAAAUUACGUUAAGCAGUAGUCUAGAAUCUAAAACUGCUCUUAUUUGUUGGCAUAGUUGUGCUAACAAGGAGGAAUACUCCUACAGUUUCAUACACAUGUAGAAGAUUCACCUGGUAUAUGAGGAGAGUAAGCAUAUAUUCCUUCAAAAUACCAAAUAGCUUUGGUUGCACAAGGAAAAUGGUCAGUCAAAAAUCCGCCACCGUUUUCUCUAUCAAGUGUUGCUGUGUAACCCCAUUCAUCACCAGGCAGAGGACCCAAGUUGCAUAUUUCAACUGCAAGCAGGUCUCCUGGCUUCGCUGGAACCCCAUCCACAUCCAGAACUCUGAUAGGUCCACUGAGAAAAUGAAACUGUGCCCAGUUUCCACACGGAUCACAAUCAACCGAGUAAAGAUCAUUUUCAUUCCAUUUAAGUGUGUGACCAGUGGCAUACAAGAGUUCUACAAGCUAAAUACUUACAGAUGAGGAAUCAAUGAGUUUUACAUCUAGUGAAGAAUUAUCAUCCUUAAUAUUGCCUCCAUUUGCGUCUACCAUCUCUACUCUAAAAUAUUCGCCAGCCAUAACCUCCGCAACCGGUGGAAUUUGGGGGUGCCAACGGUUGUGAAGAGGUAGCUUCUGCUCCCAUGGCUUCUUCUUCAGGUCUAUUGGUACUAUUAACCUUGGAGCUGAAGGAGCCAUGGAUGAAGUCGUGAAUUCCAGAGACUUUGGGGAUCUCAUGAAUUUUACUAUUGGGGCUACCGCAGGAUGGAGAGUUGACUGACAAUUAGUGGCUGACAAAUUGGGUAUCGUUUUUAUUAGACAGUCUCUGAUUAUCUUCUAGAAAAGGACGAUUUUUUUUUUUUUUAAAAUAAAGAAGUUACUUGGAUAAGUUAUUUUUAAAAAUAUUCUUUAUUUUAAUUUAAAAAAAUAUUUAAUUAGUAUUAUAAUAAAAUCAUAAAUCAUAUAUUUUUUUUUAAAGAAAACUAUUUUGCAUAUGUUAGAAAAAUAUGAAUUUUAUUAUAAUUGAUUUUUUUUAGAAAUAUGAAUGGUAAUAAUUUAAAAAAUAAUUAUUAAUAAUAUUUUAUUUAAAAACAAAAAAAGUUCUCAACUUUUUCAAUAUGUUAAAGAGUUAAGUUUUUUUUUAUUACAUGUACACUUUUAGUCAUCAAUUAUGAACACGUAUCGUGGAAUGUUUUUAUUUAAUUUAUUAUUAAUUGAAUCUAUUUUUUGAAUUUUAAAUUAUUUUUAAAAAUUAAAUUAUUAUUUAUAUUUCACUUAUUAAUAAUAAAAACCUAUUUGAACUAGUCAUUGUUUUUAAAAAUUUAUUGCUUGGUUGAUGUUCUUUAGAAAUAAUUUUUAAAUAUAAAGUAAAAUAGAUAAUUAUUCUUUUUUUUUUUUUUGGAGAAAAGGAAUAUAAAAUCAAGAUUAUUGAAUUUAUUAAUAAGUUUAAAAAAUAAUUUAAAACUAAAAAAUUAUACAUAAUGACUAUAAAAAUAAUAGACCUAAUUAAUGCUUUAAAUUAUUUAAUAAAUCUUGUAAUUUUUAAGAAUAAAUUUAAAAUUCAAAAAAACUAAUCUAUUUAAUUAUAGGUUAAAUAAAAUAAUUUAGAAUGUUAUUUUCAUAAUUAAGUAAUAAAUGUAUAUGAAAAUUUUGGCUUAUUUAUACUUUUUAAAAAAUAAAUUUUAUUUAUUUUUAUAUUCAUUUUUAAAAUAGAAUACUUAUUAACAAUUAUUAAUUUUGAAUGAUUAUUCUUUAUUUUUAACAAAAUAAAUUAAUUAUACUUUUAUAAGGUGUUAAUAUCUAUAUUUUUUUAAUAUUUAAAAAAUCAUAUAAAUAACACUAAAAAUUAUUAAUUUUGAAUAAUUAUUCUUUAUUUUUAAUUAAAUAAAUUAAUUAUACUUUUAUAAGGUGUUAAUAUCUAUAUGUUUGUAAUAUUUAUAAAAUAAUAUAAAUAGUAUUAGAAAUGAUUAAUUUUAAAUUGUUUUAUUUAUUUUUAACAAAAUCAAUCAUUAAUGUUAAUAUCUAUAAAAUAAUUUAUGAUUUUAUUAUAUUAUUAAUAUUCGUAUUUUAUUAAAAAUUUAAAUUAUUUUUAUUUUUAAUAAAACGUGAAUUAAAUUUAGUUUACAUUAUUUAAUAAUUCAUAAUUUAUAUUUUUUACAAAAUCAAAAUAAAAUAUUAUUUUUAAAAGCAGCUUAUUUAAAAAAGUUUUUAGUUUUUAAAAUUUUAAAAUAACUUAUAGAAUCAAAAUAAUUCUUUAUUGAAAUGAAUUGAAAUCCCACUUAUAAGUGAAAUUUCAUUUCCAUCGUAAUCACUUUUGACUACAUUUCCGUCGUUAUUUAAGUUAUUUAAACAUGAAAAAAAAAAUAUUCAUUUCCACUCUUCAUUACUGUAUAUCAAACACUCCGUGUAUCAAACACGUCACCCCUCAUUCUUGUGUACCAAACAUGCCCAUUCCCGUGCUCCAAACAUGUUCUAAGUGAACUAAAAAUAUAAAUUGAUCAAAUGGCAGAACAGCUUUAAGAAAUGUUAUUUUAUAAUAAAUCGGGACAGCCUAUUUUCUUCCACCAUAUUUGUAGUGACAUUAACUGAAGCAUGAACUUAUAGCAAAAAACUGUAGAUGAAAGUUUUAUUAUUGACAAACAUCUUUUCCUGAAUUUGUCAACUUACUGGCGUUAUGCAAUUGGUUUCCAUUACUUACCAGAAGCCAAAGGUUCUCAUACCACAUUUUUAUAUCCUGUCCUUAGACGUAAAGAUAAGAGCAGAAGGCCGCAACCAUGGAAUAUGUGUUCCAUUAGGCCUCCUUAUUCUACUUAGCUCCUUUGAUAGCAGUUACAUUGUGGCAGCUGGGUUCUUUGUGGUGGGCAAAUUUCCAUCAUAGGUGCAUCUUAGAACAUCGGGUUUCCUCACUAACCGGGGCCCAACUGGCACUUUGGUUUUUGGACGAAUAUCCUGCAUAUUACAACCCCACAAGUUAUCACUUCUGAAUGAAUGAAUAAAUGAAGUUGGUUUUGUUUGUUGAAAUCUCGCUAUCUGAAUCAGUGGGAGCAAUGUUGAAUCUUUAAGGUCCUAGUAUCAUUUAGAUACCUGGUCGAAGAUGGCUGUUGGAAUUGCAAGGGUUGCAACAGCAUUGGGUGAGUCCACUAUUCCUGAAAUCCUUCCUUCACAGGGGCAGCAUGAUAACAGUAGAUACAUCUGAUAGUCCCCAUUAUACUCAAUGUAUCAGGAACUCAACAAAAUCAGGUUUAUGUUAUGUGUGUAUGCUUGGAGGAUCCAGGGUUUGAGAGAGAUAGUGGACCUGUUCUUUGGAGUAGCCAAAUUUGGAGAGAUAGUCAAUGGCAUUGAGCACUGCACGCUUGUAAGCGACGGUUGCGUCAAGGAAGUGCUGUCUUCCACUCUCAUCAACGCUGAUCCCUUCAAAAACCAGCCAUUCUGAGAAUCUGGGCUCAACAGGCCCUAUUUCGAAGAUAGGGUUUACGUGAAGGGGAGUAGGUCCCAUUGGUGUAAGGUACUCUUUCAUUCCGCCUCUUAUGAUUUCACAUCUAAUAACAACAGAAUAUGUGCAACCAUCUUGGAUUAGCUUCAAACAUUAUGUGGAGUUGAAGGAAAUGGCUGUGUAAAAUGGAUUAGAACCAUAAUGCACCGACCUGAUAGAAACAGUUCGUUUUGGCAGCACAUGCAAAGAGGCCUAUACAUUAAGGUGAUGAAUUUUUCUGUGAGUUAAUCUACCAAAGAGAAUCUGUAUCUCUUUCUUGGUCUUGAAAUGGAUGUGUAGGUUAGCAAGACAGAGGACAGUGUAUCAUCAAAGAGGGUAUUGGAUCAUUUGAAAGAGAUGUUUUGAGGAUAUUCAGAUGGGUAUCUUAUGUAGCUGUAAAAGCUUUAUAAAAACCUACAACUUAGGCUAGAAAAGAGCAGCAGUAUUGGAUCCCUUAAAAACAUUGUGUUCAUACUUAAUACAAAAGCUUUUGAAGUGUCUAUGUUCUUAUAUUCCUUUGGUGUCCCAUCCCUCGAUCGGGUAAUAAUACCUUUCUGCUUGGGAUCACUUCAGUUCCUGGGCUUAUAAAACACGUUAUUUCUCAAGGUCUUGACCAACUUCAAUUACAAUCUCAGGUGGUUGCCUCUAUGUAUUGUUUUAAGCUACUUUAGAAACAGAGAAAAAUGUUUCAAUUUUGAAGUUAAAGAAAACUAUAGGCUUAUGGCUUGCUGAAGGGGCAGAGCUGAUAUUAGUUGUGAGCGGCUGAGCUUACCUUUUUCCUGCUUUCUUCCACGAGUUUGUUGUGUAUCAUAGAUAUUGUCAAACUUUGAAUUUUGUUUUUAAGCAUUUUUUGUAAGGCAAACCAUGUUUCAAUCACUAUUUGGGGCAAAGUUCCUGAUAUAAAUGUUGAAUGACAAGGGACUGAGGGAAAGAUAGGAAAUGUACUUGAGUUCUAGGAAACCACUCAUCUCAAUUGCCCCACAGAAAGAAACUUCGCCGUCGCCCUGGGAGAAGUGCAUGUCCCCUGUACUAAGAUUUGCACCAUCUACAAAUACUGGAAGGUAUAUUUUUGAACCUCUACUGAGAUUCUUGAUGUCACAGUUUCCUCCAUUUUCCCUUCCUGGGAUAGUCCUUGCAGCCUCUCUAGCAAUUCUUUCCCAUUCAGGAGUUCCCUGUUGGAUCUGCACAUAGUCAUGACCUGUUAGCAUAACUAAAUUCUACCUCUGAGAAGUUCGUAGUCCAGAAAACCACUUUUUUCUGGGCAUUGGAUUGUUAAAAACUAUAGAUCAUAGAAAAAUAAUGGUCUGGGGGAAUUAAAAAAAUACUCAUAUCAUGAUGACUUCUAUGUUGAUACAUCACACAUGUUCAUUUUUUUGCACCUUUCCAAGAUGGCAGCCUUUAGUUGAUGGAGGAUUUGCCAAUGGUCUUGAAUGCAGAACCUCACAUAGUUUCAGAGUCUGGCGACCAUUUUCUUCCACUUGCCUCUCCCUCUCAUUCCAUAUAUUCAGAAGUUCCAUUGAUGGUGCAGUUCCAAUUAUUCCAGGGUGAGUUAAACCUGGAAAUCUCACUCCUGCAUUUAUGAAAUUACGUUAAUCAGAAGUCUAGAAUCUAAAACUGCUCUUAUUUGUUGGCACAGUUGUGCUAACAAGGAGGAAUACUCCUACAGUUUCAUACAUAUGUAGAAGAUUCACCUGGUAUAUGAGGAGAGUAAGCAUUUAUUCCUUCAAAAUACCAAAUAGCUUUGGUUGCACAAGGAAAAUGGUCAGUCAAAAAUCCGCCACCGUUUUCUCUAUCAAACGUUGCUGUGUAACCCCAUUCAUCACCAGGCAGAGGGCCCAAGUUGCAUAUUUCAACUGCAAGCAGGUCUCCUGGCUUCGCUGGAACCCCAUCCACAUCCAGAACUCUGAUAGGCCCACUGAGAUAAUGAACCUGUGCCCAGUUUCCACAUAGAUCACAAUCAACCAAGUAAAGAUCAUUUUGAUUCCAUAUAAGAGUUUGACCAGUGCCAUACAAGAGUUCUUCAAGUAAAAUACUUACAGUUGAGGCAUCAAUGUGUUUUACAUCUAGUGAAGAAUCAUCAUCCUUAAUACCACCUCCAGUCGCAUCUACCAUUUCUACUCUAAAAAAUUCACCAGCCUUAACCUCUGCAACUGGUGGUAUUUUGGGAUGCCAACGGUUGUGAAAAGGUAGCUUUUGUUCCCAUGCUGCCUUCUUCAGGUCUAUUGGCACUACUAACCUUGGAGUUGAAGGAGCCAUUGAUGAAGCAGUGAAUUCCAGAGACUAUGGAGAUCUCAUGAAUUUUAUUGUUGGGGCUUCUGCCGGAUGGAGAGUUGACUGACAAUUAGUAGCUGACAAAUUGCCAUAUCGUUUUUUAUUAGGCCGGCACUAGUUCUCUUCUAGAAAAGGACAAAUUUAUUAAAAUUUUAAACUUUGUUUCUUAUGCCUAAUGUGAGUCAUGGCCAGCACAGCACUUCAAUCUUGGGACAUGUCCUAAAAAAUGGUGGAUUUCACAGAAGUUGUAUGUAAUUAAGUAGAAAAUGUUUUUCAUUCUUGCAAGGGGUUUGGAUCAAAGAGUGAGUGUAGGGGAAAAUCUUGGAAAUAAAGUUUAUGUUUUGAACACUGUUAUUUUAAACUAAAUGUUGAGAAUUACAAUCUUGAAGUGCUUCAGAAACUUAUAACACAGGGAUCGUGCCAAUUAGGGAAGUGCUGCAUCCAUGUAGUUGCAGUGUAUAAUCCAAGCAAAAGGCAAAUAAGCAGAUAACUCACAAUAGAGUGAUCAACAUAUUUGAUAUCUUCUGCAGAAUAGUCCGUUGUGAUACUGUCAUACGAGCCCCCACUGAAGUCCACCAUCUCAAGUCAGAAAAUCUCUCCACAUCAAAAGUCAUCCACUGGUGGUAUCUCUGGGUGCCACCGAUUAUGCAGUGGAAGUUUCUGCUCCCAUGGCUUUUUCUUCAUGUCUAUCUGCACCACCAGCCUCGGACCAUGCUGAGCCAUGGCUCUGCCCUGUUCCUCAACUUUGUCUCAUAAUCGAAGCUAGUGAGGAUGAGAUUUGAUUGAUGUUGGUGGUACCUCUCUAAAUAACUUGAAUAUUGUACAUUUGAUCAUUUCAGAGUCCAAAUGGGGGUUAAGCAUGACUCCACAUUGCUUUCUGAGCUAACCCCACAAAUCGGAAUGUUGAGAAUGUUGCCUACAUUUCAUGAUGAUAUUGGAUAUUGUUCCAGCUGUGCUGUGCUUCAACAACUUGGUGUCUUGAGAUAUGGUUUGGACUUAGCCUGCAUUAUUGGGGCUAAUAGGGAAGUAUGUUCAGACAGUGAAGAGGGAUUCCUCCGUAAAUGCUGUGGAGAAAAUGAGGCAGUUGCUCAGCAAAAACUCAGGAAACCUGGUAUGGCUUAAUUAUUGGCUAUAUGUAUUUCUAUUUUCUAGUCCUCAUAGUUCAUGGAGUAUAAGAUGUCUAUAGAUAAAUGCCUUGUAAGUGUGCUGUAUAUUGGCAACUACAAGUGCAUCUUACAAAGAAAACUCUGAAGAUUUACACCCUUUUUUUGUUGAUGGUGUUCUACCUUUUUGCUUCUAAGUUUCACUUAUUAAGGAAGGACCCAAGCAAUGUUGAACAAAGAAAAAAGAAGCUGCCAAAGCAAACUCGCUAUAUUACAUAUUCAUAAUGUGAUCAAUCGAUUCCUCAUUGCAAUUUGCAAAGGACACAUCUAUUCACAAAAGCCCAGCCUCUCUUUUGAACCUGAUCCAAGGUCAACACUUUGUCUCAACUAGCUUUCCAAGCAGAAAAUGACACUUUUGAAAGGAUCAAGGAAUUCCAGAUGACGGCAACAGGGGAUGGAGUUGGGUGCCCUGGCCCCAGAAGGGAAUCAAAAGAUGUAACACAGAAGACCCCCUUUCUAGAACCCAUCUGCAGAACUCUAUCCUUCACAGACUUUCCUUGAAUCCUCAAGAAAAAAUCCUCAACAUUGUCUAGCUCCCAAUCAUUUAAAUGUCUAAUAAAAUGAGGAUUCCAAUGUCCUCCCUCACCCAUGUCAUCCCAAACUUCCGUUACCCAAACUUCCUUUGACAAUGUGAAGGCAAACAGGGAAGGGACUGCACUAGCUAAGGUUACAUCCCCGCACCAUUUAUCCUUCCAAAACUUGACCCUCUUCCCAUCUCCCACCCCUUCCUGCUCUGAAAAUUGGUGAGAUAUGUGAGCCUUCUAUGGCUCAACAUCAACUGUAAUGGAUUUCUCAGUGCCACAGUAUCCGGACAUGUACAUUGCUCUAAUGUCUAUAGAAAUCCACCCUUUUCCUUGAUAUAAAAUGUUGAAAGACUGAAGGUGGCUGGGGUGGAGUACAGUUGGAAUUUAUUACUUUUUAGUUUUUAUUCAUAAGAUAUAUCAUGAUUAUUUGACAGUCAUAUUACUUAAAUUCAUCACAGUUAAAUAUUUUAACACCAUUUUUAACAAUGCAGCUUUCUACUGGCAGAAAUUGCAACUAACUAAAACUAUGGGGAAAUAUCCUCUGAUUGUUCUCAAUUUUCUCCUCUUUCUAAUUAUUUCUAAUUUUACUAAUUCUGAGCCUUUUUUUUUUCAGGUGUUGAGUGUGGAAUUGGACCUUUGGCUCUGUUCCUUUGGCAUCCAGUAUCCAUCCCUCCAACACCAUAGGACACUGUCUAUAUCAAGGAAAAUGAAGUAGAGAUUCCUCUUAGACUCAUUUUACAUAUCCACAGUUAUUUGUGUUCAUAGCAUGGCAUAAAAUAUAUGUAACUAUGUGAAUAUAAAUGAAGCAUAGUCAGGACAUCUAUCAUGGACGUAUUGUGAAAAUAAAGAGGGUGGAUGGCUCAUGCUAUCCAGAAAAUAAAUGAAGUUCAAAGUAUUCAGGCUAUUGAUAUGGCAAUGAAAGCUGAAGUGAUGCCUUGAUAAGCCUCCUUCCUUAGGUUGCCGAAACUUUAUUUGAGGCAUUUUUGUAGCUGAUCUAUUUGCUACUCAACUAGUUAAUUUUGUUUGCCUAAACUUCAUUUGAAGCAUAAUUGUAGUUGACCUAGUUCUCAGGACCGCCUAUUUUCUUCCACCAUAUUUGUAGUGACAUUAGUUAAAACAGGAGCUUAUUAGCUAAAUACUGUAGAUGAAAAUUUUAUAAUUGACUAAACGUCAAUUGCUAAAUUUAUUAACUUAGCUGGCAUUAUGCAAUUGGUUUCCUUUACUCACCAGAAGGUAAAGGUUCUCCUACAACAUUUUUAUGUCCUGCCCAUAGAAUAUGUGUUCCAUUAGGCCACCUCCUUCUACUUAGCUCACUUUGAUAGCAGUUACAUUGUGGCAGCUGGGUUCUUUGUGGUGGGCAAAUUUCCAUCAUAGGUGCAUCUCAGAACAUCUGGUUUCCUCACUAACCGGGGUCCAACUGGCACUUUGGUUUUUGGACGAAUAUCCUGCAUAUUACAACCCCACAAGUUAUCACUUCUGAAUGAAUAAAUAAAUAAAGUUGGUUUUGUUUUUGAAAUCUCACUAUCUGAAUCAGUGGGAGCAAUGUUGAAUCCUGGAAAAACUUGAGUCAUUUUAUGGUCCUAGUAUAAUUAGAUACCUGGUCAAAGAUGGCUGUUGGGAUUGCAAGGGUUGCAACAGCAUUGGGUGAGUCCACUAUUCCUGAAAUCCUUCCUUCACAGGGACAGCAUGAUAACAGUAGAUACAUCUGAUGGCCACCAUUAUAUUCAAUAUCAAUAACUUAACAAAAUCAGAUUAUCUUAUGUGUGUAUGCUAGUGUUUUCCUUUGUGGAUGCUUGGAGGUUACAGGGUUUGAGAGUGAUAGUGGACCUGUUCUUUGGAGUAGCCAAAUUUGGAGAGAUAGUCAAUGGCAUUGAGCACUGCACGCUUGUAAGCAACACUUGCAUCAAGGUAGUGCUGUCUUCCACUCUCAUCAACACUGAUGCCUUCAAAAACCAGCCAUUCUGAGAAUCUGGGUUCAACAGGCCCUAUUUCGAAGAUAGGGUUUACAUGAAGGGGAGUGGGUCCCAUUGGUGUAAGGUACUCUUUCAUUCCGCCUCUUAUGAUUUCACAUCUAAUAACAAUAAAAACAUACACAAUUAUCUUGUAUUAGCUUAAACAUUGUGGAGUUAAAAGAAGUAGCUGUGACUAAGCUGUGUACAAUGGACUAGAACCAUAAUGGAUGGGCCCUAUAGAAACGGUUCAUUUUGGCAAGAUAUGCAAAGAGGCCUAGAUAUUAGGUGAGGAAUUUUUCUGUGAGUUAAUCUACCAUACUAGUGCUUUUGUAGUGUCUGUGUUCUCAUAUUGAAUUCCUCCCUUUUGGAGCCCUAUACUGUUUCCUAGACUUUAUAAAACACAUUAUUUCCCAAGAUCUUGACCAACUUCAAUUACAAUCCCAGGUGCUUGCCUCUAUUUGUUGAUUUCAGCUACUCUACUCAAAACUGUGUCUUUAAAUUUUGUUGUUAAAAAAAAAAAAACUAUGCUCUUAUGGCUUUCUUGGGGAGGGGAGCUGAGUCACUGGAGGUUAAUAAACUAAUUUUUGCAGUCUAUAUUGCUGAGCCUGAGAGCUCUUAUUAAUUGUGAACAGCUAAACUCAUCUCUUUGUCCUGCUUCCUUCCACAAGUUUGACAUGUAUAGUAGAUAUUAUCAAACUUGGAAUUUUGUUCUUAAGUUUUUUCAUGUAAGCAAACCAUGUUUCAAUCAAUUAUUUGGGGCAAAGUUCCUGAUAUAAAUAUAGAAUGACAAGGGACUGAGGGAGAGAUAGGAAAUGUACUUGAGUUCCAGGAAACCACUCAUCUCAAUUGCCCCACAGAAAGAAACUUCGCCGUCUCCCUGGGAGAAGUGCAUGUCCCCUGUACUAAGAUUUGCUCCAUCUACAAAUACUGGAAGGUAUAUUUUUGAACCUGUACUGAGAUUCUUGAUGUCACAGUUUCCUCCAUUUUCCCUUCCUGGGAUAGUCCUUGCAGCCUCUCUAGCAAUUCUUUCCCAUUCAGGAGUUCCCUUUUGGAUCUGCCCAUAAUAAUGACCUGUUAGCAUAACUGAAUCCUACUGAUGGGAAGUUCCCAGUCCAAAAAGCCACAUUUUUCUGGGCACUGAAUUGUUAAAACUAUGUGGAUUAUAGGAAAAUAAAGUGUGGGGGAAUUCGAAAUACUCCUAUCGUGAUGUCUUCUAUGUUGACAUAUGUUCAUCUUUAUGCACCUUUCCAAGAUGGCAGCCUUUGGUUGAUGGAAGAUUUGCCAAUGGCCGGGAAUGCAGAACCUCGCAUAGUUUCAGAGUCUGGAGACCAUUUUCUUCUACUUGUCUCUCUCUCUCAUUCCAUAUAUUCAGAAGUUCCAUUGAUGGUGCAGUUCCAACUAUUCCAGGGUGAGUUAAGCCUGGAAAUCUCACUCCUGCAUAUAUAAAAAUGCAUUAAGUAGCAGCCUAGAAUCUAAAACUGCUCUUAUUUAUUGGCACAGUUGUGCAAACGAGGAAUACUCCUACAAUUUCAUGUAUGGGUAGAAGAUUCACCUGGUAUGUGGGGAGAGUAGGCAUAUAUUCCUUCGAAAUACCAAAUAGCUUUGGUUGCACAAGGAAAAUGGUCGGUCAAAAAACCGCCACCGUUUUCUCUAUCAAACGUUGCCGUGUAACCCCAUUCAUCACCAGGCAGAGGACCCAAGUUGCAUAUUUCGACUGCAAGCAGGUCUCCUGGCUUGGCCGGAACUCCAUCCACAUCCAGAACUCUGAUAGGCCCACUGAGAUAAUGAACCUGCGCCCAGUUUCCAUACAAAUCACAUUCGACUAGGUAAAGAUCAUUUUGAUUCCGUAUGAGAGUUUGACCAGUGCCAUACAAGAGUUCUAGUUAAAUACUUACAGUUGAGAGGUCAAUGAAUUUUACAUCUAAUGCAGAAUCAUCAUCCCUAAUAAUACCUCCAGUCCAGUCUACCAUCUCUACUCUAAAGAUCUCGCCAGCCUUAAUUUCCUCAACUGGUGGAAUUUGGGGGUGCCAACGGUUGUGGAGAGGUAGCUUCUGCUCCCAUGGCUUCUUCUUCAGGUCAAUUGGCACUACUAACCUUGGAGUUGAAGGAGCCAUGGAUAAAGCACUGAAUUCCAGAGACUAUGGGGAUCUCUUGAAUUAUUAUUGGGGCUACCGCAGGAUGGAGAGUUGACUCACGAUUAGUAGCUGACAAAUUGGUGAAUCGUUUCUAUUCGACCGUCUCUAAUUAUCUUCUAGAAAACGACAAAUAAUUGAAAUUUGAAACUUUGUUUGGUAUAGCUACAAUGUGUGUCAUGCCCAGCAUAGCACUAAAAUCUGGGGACCUCUCCCAAAUAAUGGUGGAUUUAUGAAAUGGUAUGUAGUCUAAGUAGCAACUACUUUUCAUUUUUGGAGUGUAGAGAAAGAUGGGAGUCUUAGAAAUAGAAAUGAUGUGUUUGGACAUUCUCAUUUUAAACUACAUGUUGAAAAUUACUAUCUUGCCGAGCUUCAGAAACUAAAAACACAGGGAUGGUGCCUAUUGGGAAAGAGCUCCGUGCCCCUUCCAUGUGGUUGCAGUGUAUAAUCCAAGGCAAAGGCAAAUAAGCAGUGAACUCACAAUAGAGGGAUCAGCAUAUUUGAUAUCUUCUGCAGAAUAGUCCUUUGUAAUACCGCCCCCACUGAAGUCCACCAUCUCAACUCUGAAAACCUCUCCACAUCUAAC
rnacentral:lncRNA from 1 species